UACGGGGGGAGCAAGCGUUGUUCGGAUUUACUGGGCGUAGAGGGCGCGUAGGCGGCCAGCACAAGUCAGUUGUGAAAUCUCCGAGCUUAACUCGGAACGGUCAACUGAUACUGUGCGGCUAGAGUGCGGAAGGGGCAACUGGAAUUCUUGGUGUAGCGGUGAAAUGCGUAGAUAUCAAGAGGAACACCUGCGGCGAAGGCGGGUUGCUGGGCCGACCCUGACGCUGAGGCGCGAAAGCCAGGGGAGCGAACGGG
rnacentral:rRNA from 1 species